UCCUUCUGCCUCAGCCUUCCAAGUAGCUGGAACUACAGUACUGUGCCACUGAUUCUUGCAUGAAGUUCUGGAACGCUGGCUCUUCAUGUCUUUCCUCUGUAACUGCAAGGAAGAAAGAAGAGCAGUUCUCCUUAAACUCUCCCUCAUUAGUCAAGGGGAUCAGGCCCAGCGACCCUUCCAUCAGAAGCAGGACUUUAUCCUAAGAGACUAAGUAUUCACUUCUUCCAAUAAAGAAAUGUCUCCUAGAAGCAUGCUCUGUUUA